AAACUCUAAGAAGCCCCAAACAUUUCAGAGAACAAGUAAAAGCUGAUAUUCAUUUCAUAUAACCUUAAGCUGAGGAUAUCCUAAUGGCGGAUGGGGAGAUAGCGGAGACAAUGGCAUUAUCCCUUUCAAAUCGCCGCUGUCCCAAAUUGCCGUCCUGUUCGACGGCGUCAACUCAACGUCCCUCUCAGAUUCUUCUCGCUUCACUACUUUCUUCGCUUCUUCCUCUACAAUCGCACUUUCUCUGGUUCGUUUCCUUUCGUUUCCCUCAUUGGCGCGUGUGUUCAACUUCCCAGCUAACAAAGGAAAGUUAAGAAUGGCUUUGGAGCCGCGCAGCUUGAAUGCGGCUCGAUCAUAGGCUUUGGCGGCUUCGAUAGCUGUGUCGAAAGUUCCGAGCCACAAACGGGUGCCUUUCUGGUUCGGGUCUCGGAUCUCU
rnacentral:misc_RNA from 1 species